UCCUAUCCUACAACGGUUGGACUCAGAAAAAAGCUACAAAAUAGGGAUAGACCUAACCUUCUGAAAUUAUUUAUUCCCCGUAAUAUGUAACUUAACGUAUUCAUUUUGUAGCACCUGGUUUCCGGUAUGUGAAUUUUAUUUGAGCAUUGCCCUAAUUUAGCCUUGGACUCGGCGAGUCAUAGGGUCCGACUCGCCGAGUAGGGACGAGACUCAGGACGCGUUAUAAGUAGGCGACUCGACGAGUCCAUAUCCUGGACUCGGCGAGUCACCGCUGCGGGAUGAAACCCUAAGUUUCAAGGGUUUGCACCCUAUUUAAACUCUCUUUCUGUCCCAACUCGUCCCCAUUCACCCCCAGAACUCCCUCUACAUCGUUUUCCCUUGUUUCCUUGAGAGUUUGAAGUAUUCUUGGUGUGUUCUUGAAGGUUUUGAAGAGUAAGAGGAGUAGAUCAAGAAGAGGAGAAGGAGAUCAGCCAUCCUUGUGUCAUUUCAACAUUUCCUUUGAGGUAUAACCCGUUUUCCCCUUGAUUCUAUGCUUAAAACUUCAUUUGGGUCCUUCUUGGUCAAUUCCCCAAGUUUGCAUGUUCAUUAUAUGUUGUAAUAAGACGUUUGGCCUUUGGAUCUAUGUAAGAUUGAGCUCCAGGAGCUCAGAUCUGUUAGCUUUUUGGCCUCAUAAGACUUGUUAGCCCUAGAUCUACCAUUUUGAGACAUUUUGAGCCUUAUAAUCCAUAUUGGUGAAUAUCCACACGUAAAGUUGGAAACUUUACGUGUGAUUCGUGUCCUAGAAGUCCAGAUCUAUGAAUGGCAUGGUCUGGAACCGAGCAAAUCGGUAUAUUUAAGGAGUGCAUGGCGACGACUCGGCGAGUCGCAUAGGUGACUCGGCGAGUCUGGUCGCGAGUCACCGAAUUGGUCCCUUCUUCAUGUGUCGAGUUGAGCCUUGAGUCACAGGGGGUGACUCGGUGAGUUGGGAGCUGAACUCACCCAUGUUAGGACUCGGCGAGUCAAUGCCCUGACUCGGCGAGUCCAAGGCAAUCUUCAUAGCUCAAGAACAGACUCGGCGAGUUGUUCAUACAACUCGGCGAGUCUUAGCAUAAAGUGUUCAUCGGAUGAAGAUGAACUCGACGAGUUGUUCAUACAACUCGGCGAGUAGGAUGAAGGUGUUGAAUGGCAGUUAGAAGGUGAACUCGUCGAGUCAUAGCCCGACUCGACGAGUAGAACCAGGGACCCAGGACAUUGGUUUGCUAGGGACUCGGCGAGUGGUGAUCCACUCGGCGAGUCGGGUCAACUGAAAGUUGACUCCAGCUUUGGCUUAGAGUUAAUCCAGGGGUAAAAUGGUCAUUUUACCUAAAGGACAGUUAGCAGUGUUUGAUUGAGUAUGUCGUGGAAAUUGCAGCCGGAGGACUCCCGGAGCAGCAGCAGUCAGUUAGUUCCCGAUCAGUUCAGCAGCUACUUUGAGGUGAGUUACCUUCCAGUAGCGGUGGGUCUAAGGCCACAAUGCCGACCCACCAGUAGGAGUUGUAUGAUAGAUGAUUGUCUUUGUGAUAUCAUCUAAGUUCGCUAGUACCUGACAUGUUAUAUGCUAGCAUGAUAUGCUGUAUGUGAUAGUAGUAGAGUUUGGUUGUUCGGACCGAAGGGUAGUCAGACACCCCAGAUACGUCUGACAGUAUGUGACGAUAUGUAUGCAUGCUGGCUUGUUAUGUUAUAUGUGAUCGUAGUAGUAGGGGUGAAAUAGUCCCCGAGGAUCGGUUGUUAGGACCGAUGGGUAGUCAGCACCCCAGAAUGGCUUGACACGGGUAAGACGGCACCCCAGAAUGGCCGUAUGGGUAGGUCGGCACCCCAGAAUGGCCGUACCGGGUAGUCAGGCACCCCAGAAUAGCCUGGCAGUAUAUAUGUUAUGUGUUUGUAUGGUAUGCGGUACGUUGGGGGAACUCACUAAGCUUUGUGCUUACGUUUACAGUUUUGUUUUCAGGUACCUCUGCAUCGAAGGGGAAGGAGCCGGCGCGGUAGCGGCACGUCAUACACACACUCUUCGGUUUCCGCAUUUAUGAGAUUUACUGGGAUUGUACUCUGAUAUUUGAUGGGAUGUACGGUUUGGCUUUUGAGAACAUGGUUGCAAUGUGUUAUGGUGUGAACAAACAAUGUUUCUUUUUAUUUAGACAAUGUUUUUAUUUAUUAAUGUUUUCUAAAGUAAUAUCAAAAAAAAAAAAAAAUUGGGUCGUUACAAGUUGGUAUCAGAGCCCUGGUUUGAGGGAUUCGGACACGCCUUCGGGAGUGUUUGGACUCAAACCGAGGGAUUGAAAGAUUUUUCCAAAAGAAAUUAUUCUUUAAAACCCGGAAAAGAGUCACGAGAAAGAGUAAAGUGUGUGACGUGCGCGACCGGCCGAGCUCAAGUAAGUAUUCCCCAUAGUACCCAUACAAGUUUAUGUUAUGUUUAUCAGCUUUAUGAAUAUUGCAUGUUAGAAUAGGCUGAGGAUCUAAGAGUGAUGCCUUAUGUGCCUGUUUAAUUGUUACAGCUUAUUGAAUAUUGCAUGCUAGAAUUGAGUAGACAGCAGUAGGGUAGCCUGUUUAGGUUAUGCCUGAUAGUAUGAGCUUAGCAUCCUAUGUUAAGUGUCGUUUCUUGUUCUAAGAACAGUUUUGGCUUGAGUCUGUUUUUCCUUAUCCGAAUGCUGCUUGCUUCGUGCUCGGUGGGAUUCUGAGUAAUGGGAGUGAGCCACUAGGUAAACACGUCACACCACAUGUAAUCAGGGUUGAAUAAUCCCAAAGUGUUGGAACUGGCCCUAUUGCGCAGCUCUUGUUUGAGUCCAACCGUUGUAGGGACGGAUCUUUUACUUGAAGGAUUAUCUAAUCCUCAUUACAUGUGAUGGUGUUUAGGUGGUGGCUAACUGGCAUUAUGAGGAGACCUACAGCAGCUGAGGACCAGUUGUGUUGAACUUGAGUUCUCCCUAGGGCAAGCCUAGGGUGAGAAUAUCGGAGAGUAGCAGUAGUAGAGGGGAGUUGGUGGAGUCGAGGAAUUCCUCGGAGAAGGUACGGAUAGAUGUGGAAGGUAGUAUGGGCCCGUACUACUGAAAGCAGAGGAUCCGUACCCGAGCCGAGGAAGGCCAAGACGAGACCAAGGAACCUGUAAGUAGUUGAGAUCCCUCAGAAAGUAGCAGUACCACUAAUGAUUAUUAUUGAUGUUUUGCAGAAUGGUGGUACUUCGACCGAGACCGACAGAUGGCGGGUCAGGAGAGGGGUCAGGUUCGGGAUCUGGCACCGAGCCGAUUGAGGAGAGGCUACGUGAGUUCAUCACGUCGGAGAUCACUAGGGGCAUCCUUGAGUCGACCCCCAUCAUCUUUGGGUCGAUCAAGGAAGGGAUCGUGGAGAUGAUGGAGGAUCGCCUACGGGCAUUCAGGAGCGACUUGGCCUCUAGCCAGUCAGGAUCUCGCACACUGUCCUUCAAGGACUUCAGGAGCAGUGGUGCGCCGGAUUUCCAUGGGGUGAAGGACCCCAUUGUCGCCAGGCGGUGGAUUGCGGAUAUCGAGUCCGCCCAGUUGAUCAGCUUCUGCCCCGAGGGGUCGAAGGUGAGGUACGCAGCAGGGUGUUUACGGGACCGGGCCCGAGAUUGGUGGGAGUCAGUGGGUGACUCGAUGGGAGCCUCGGCUGUCGAGGCAAUGACCUGGUCGGACUUUGUGACUAGGUUCAGGGCAGAGUUUGCGCCAGCGGUCGAGCUUCAGCAGCUGGCCAGGGAGUUCUUAGACAUGAGGCAGACGACAGAGACCGUGGCGGAGAUCACCGCCAAGUUUCGGGAGAGGGCUUUAUUGGUGCCCCAGUAUGCAGGUGACGAGGAUAUGAGGAGGACUCGUUACCACGACAUGCUACGAGCUGACAUUCGGGAGCAUGUUAGCUUUUCGGCUUGCCCUACCCUGGACUCCAUGAUUGCCAGGGCUAGGGAGAGAGAGAUAGAUUUGGAGCACAUCCGGAAACGGAAACUUGAGGAUGGUCAGUCAUCGGGGGCUUCGGGGAAGAAGCCCAAGGGAUCAGAUGGGAGGCCGAAAGGCCAGUCGGGACCGAGCCGCUGCAGGAGGUGCGGCAGGCCGCACGAGGGGGCGUGCAGGAUGGGAUCGUCAGGCUGCUACAAGUGCGGCAAGUUUGGGCAUAUCAGCAGGGAUUGCACUGCUCCUGCGACCGUUAUUCAGACAUCGGAGUUGCUGUGUUUCCACUGCAACCAGAGGGGCCACAAGAAGGCCAAUUGCCCCAUGUUGACAGCUUCAGCGCCAGUGAAGGCGCCAGCUCCAGCGACCCUGCGGAUCACGGAUGGCCGUCAGGGCAAGGCAGAGGCUCCAGUGGUGAGGAGUCGGGCAUUUCAGUUGACUGCCGAGGAGGCACGCGCCGCGCCCGAUGUGGUGACGGGUAUGAUUCCUUCCUUCUAUCUUUUAUUUUACGUUGUUAUGAUAUUGAUAUGUGCUCCGUGUGUAUACAUGUGUAUUAGGAUCGUUCCAUGUGAACGGCAUCCCGGUUCAGGUAUUGUUCGACUCGGGUGCAUCCCGAUCGUUCGUUUCUCUUGCUCUUAGCAAGAGAUUUCAUGAGACUUCAGGCGAGUUAGAUUGCCCGUUAGAGGUAGAGAUUGCCGAUGAUCGAUCGGUGCGAGCAUCGAUGGUGUUUCGAGAUUGUGUCCUGCGACUGUUUGAGGAGUGUUACCUGGUAGACUUGGUUCCCAUUCCAUUGCGUGGGAACAAGGUGAUUAUUGGUAUGGAUUGGUUGAGCCCUAAUGGGGCAGUGAUAGAUUGCGCACAGCAGCUAGUGCGAGUCAAGACCCCAAGCGGGGGAGAGUUAGUGAUUCAUGGAGAGCGGCCGCAGUGUGGACCCACUGUAUGUUCAGCAGCGAGGGCUAGGCGCUACCUUCAGCAGGGAUGCGCGGGUUAUGUCGCGUACGUGAUGGACACCCGGGAGGCGGGUAAGGCGACCGUGAGCGAGGUCCCGGUGGUUCGAGAUUUUGCUGAUGUUUUUCCGGAGGAACUACCUGGGAUACCUCCGGAGCGACAGGUGGAGUUCAGGAUUGACCUCGUUCCCGGUGCGGCUCCGAUAGCCAAAGCACCGUAUCGGUUGGCUCCUCCCGAGAUGCAGGAGUUGUCUACGCAGCUGCAGGAGCUGCUGGACAAGGGAUUUAUUCGGCCGAGCAGUUCGCCCUGGGGAGCCCCGAUUCUGUUUGUGAAGAAGAAGGAUGGGUCGCAUCGGAUGUGUAUAGAUUAUCGGGAGCUGAACAAGGUAACGGUGAAGAACCGUUACCCGCUUCCGAGGAUUGAUGACCUCUUUGACCAGCUUCAGGGCGCAUCUUGGUUCUCCAAGAUUGAUUUGCGUUCGGGUUAUCAUCAGAUGAGGGUCAGGGAGGAGGAUAUGCAGAAGACCGCGUUUCGGACGCGCUAUGGCCAUUACGAGUUUGUGGUGAUGCCGUUUGGGCUCACCAAUGCUCCUGCCGCGUUCAUGGACCUCAUGAACCGUGUAUGCAGACCGAUGCUGGACCGGUCUGUGAUAGUCUUUAUCGAUGAUAUCUUGGUUUAUUCCAAGACCCGGGAGGAACAUGAGGAGCAUUUGAGAGAGGUGUUAGAGACCCUGAGGAGGGAGAGCUUGUAUGCCAAGUUCUCCAAGUGUGAGUUUUGGUUGCGCGAGGUGCAAUUUCUGGGGCACCUCGUCAACCAGAACGGGAUUCUGGUCGAUCCGGCCAAGGUCGAGGCCGUGAUGAGAUGGGAGGUUCCGAAGUCCCCAUCUGAGAUUCGGAGCUUCCUAGGAUUGGCAGGCUACUAUCGGAGAUUUAUCCAGGAUUUCUCCAAGAUAGCCGUGCCCCUGACGCGGCUGACGAAGAAAGCCGUGGUCUUUCGGUGGGGACCCGAGCAGCAGGCUGCAUUUGAGACGCUGAGACAGAGAUUGUGUGAGGCGCCGAUCUUAGCCCUGCCAGAGGGCGUAGAGGAUUUCGUGGUUUAUUGCGAUGCGUCCAUUUCUGGGUUGGGCGCGGUGCUGAUGCAAAGGGGGCAUGUCAUUGCUUACGCUUCGAGGCAGCUCAAGCCUCACGAGGCGAACUACCCGACGCACGAUUUGGAGUUGGGGGCGGUGGUAUUUGCCCUCAAGAUUUGGCGACAUUACCUCUAUGGGGUUCGGUGUACCAUCUACACGGACCACAAGAGCUUGAGGUACCUCAUGGACCAGCCGAAUCUGAACAUGAGGCAGCGUCGGUGGUUGGAUGUGGUGAAGGAUUAUGAUUGCGAGAUCCUUUACCACCCGGGAAAGGCCAAUGUGGUGGCCGAUGCGCUUAGCCGCAAGACGGCGCCGAUCAGGGACGCCUGUUUGAGGAUGACUGUGGUGACUCCCCUGUUGGAGCAGAUUCGGGAAGCUCAACAGGAGGCUAUCAAGGAGGAGCAUCGGAAGAACGAGCGCGUAGUAGGUCAGGUUUCCUCCUUCGAUUAUGAUAGCCGAGGGUUAUUGACACUACACCAUAGGGUGUGGGUGCCGUAUCACGGGGGCGUGCGCCAGAUUUUGAUGGAGGAGGCGCACAAGUCCCGAUUCUCUAUUCAUCCCGGGGCGACGAAGAUGUAUAGGGAUCUUCGUCUAGACUAUUGGUGGCCCUGCAUGAAGCGGGAUGUGGCAUGGUACGUCGAGCGGUGCUUGACCUGCAGGAAGGUCAAGGCCGAACAUCAGAGGCCGCAUGGCAAGAUGCAGCCGUUGGACAUUCCACUGUGGAAGUGGGAAGAUAUCACGAUGGAUUUUAUCACGAAGCUUCCCAGGACCGCGCGUGGAGUGGAUUCGAUUUGGGUCAUCGUGGAUAGAUUGACCAAGAGUGCUCACUUUAUUCCGAUUCCGGAGAGCAUAUCGGCCGAGAAAUUGGCCGACAUCUAUAUCAGGGAGAUUGUGGCACGGCAUGGGGUGCCAGUAUCGGUGAUCUCGGACAGGGAUGUGCGUUUUACUUCCAGGUUUUGGAAGAGAUUCCAUGACGAGUUGGGCACUCGUCUGCAUUUCAGCACCGCCUUUCACCCGCAGACAGAUGGACAGAGUGAGCGGACCAUCCAGACUUUGGAGGACAUGUUGCGGGCGUGUGUUCUGGAUUUCGGUGGUAGCUGGGAUACCUAUCUUCCUUUGGCUGAGUUCUCCUACAACAACAGCUAUCACGCGAGUAUCGACCGCCCUCCCUUCGAGAUGUUGUACGGACGGAGGUGUAGGACCCCGAUAUGCUGGGGUGAGGUUGGCCAGAGAGUUAUGGGAAGCACCGAAGUGGUGCUCAAGACGACUGAGAGGAUACAGCAGGUCCGGAGCAGGCUUCAGACUGCUCAGAGUCGACAGAAAAGUUAUGCCGACAAGCGUCGAUCCGAUUUAGAGUUCCAGGUCGGGGAUAUGGUCCUCCUGAAGGUGUCGCCGUGGAAAGGCGUCAUCCGAUUCAGGAAGCGGGGCAAGUUGGGCCCGCGAUUCAUCGGACCGUUCAGGGUCUUAGCCCGGGUGGGCAAGGUAGCAUAUAGGCUGGAUCUGCCAGCCGAGCUUAGCCAGAUCCACAGCACUUUCCAUGUUUCGCAGUUGCGGAAGUGCCUAGUGGACGAUUCUGCAGUAGUACCUUUGGAGGAUAUUCAGGUUGAUGACAGCCUGAACUACAUCGAGCGCCCAGUCGCAAUCCUCGACAGGAAGUCGAAGGAUUUAAGGAACAAGAGGGUGGAGCUAGUGAAGGUGCAAUGGCAGCACCGCAAGGGUUCAGAGUGGACUUGGGAGCCGGUAGACGAGAUGAUGGAGCACUACCCCGAGCUGUUUCAGGAUCAGGCAGCAGACUUCGAGGACGAAGUCUAAAAUAAGUGGGGGAGAUGUGUAGCACCUGGUUUCCGGUAUGUGAAUUUUAUUUGAGCAUUGCCCUAAUUUAGCCUUAGACUCGGCGAGUCAUAGGGUCCGACUCGCCGAGUAGGGACGAGACUCAGGACGCGUUUUAAGUAGGCGACUCGACGAGUCCAUAUCCUGGACUCGGCGAGUCACCGCUGCGGGAUGAAACCCUAAGUUUCAAGGGUUUGCACCCUAUUUAAACUCUCAUUCCGCCCCAACUCGUCCCCAUUCACCCCCAGAACUCCCCCUACAUCGUUUUCCCUUGUUUUCUUGAGAGUUUGAGGUGUUCUUGGUGUGUUCUUGAAGGUUUUGAAGAGUAAGAGGAGUAGAUCAAGAAGAGGAGAAGGAGAUCAGCCAUCCUUGUGUCAUUUCAACAUUUCCUUUGAGGUAUAACCCGUUUUCCCCUUGAUUCUAUGCUUAAAACUUCAUUUGGGUCCUUCUUGGUCAAUUCCCCAAGUUUGCAUGUUCAUUAUAUGUUGUAAUAAGGCGUUUGGCCUUUGGAUCUAUGUAAGAUUGAGCUCCAGGAGCUCAGAUCUGUUAGCUUUUUGGCCUCAUGAGGCUUGUUAGCCCUAGAUCUACCAUUUUGAGACAUUUUGAGCCUUAUAAUCCAUAUUGGUGAAUAUCCACACGUAAAGUUGGAAACUUUACGUGUGAUUCGUGUCCUAGAAGUCCAGAUCUAUGAAUGGCAUGGUCUGGAACCGAGCAAAUCGGUAUAUUUAAGGAGUGCAUGGCGACGACUCGGCGAGUCGCAUAGGUGACUCGGCGAGUCUGGUCGCGAGUCACCGAAUUGGUCCCUU
rnacentral:lncRNA from 1 species